rnacentral:tRNA from 1 species
AGCAGUGUGGCUCAGUGGAAAGAGCCCGGGCUUGGGAGGCCCAGGUCAUGGGUUCAAAUCCCGACUCCGCCU